GAAAGGAAUGCUAAUACCGCGUAAGACCACACCUACUACGGUAGGAGCGGUUAAAGGUGCCUCAAAGCACCACCAGAGGAUGAGCCUGCGUCCCAUCAGCUUGUUGGUAAGGUAACGGCUUACCAAGGCGAAGACGGGUAGCUGGUCUGAGAGGAUGAUCAGCCACACUGGUACUGGAACACGGACCAGACUCCUACGGGAGGCAGCAGUGAGGAAUAUUGGGCAAUGGGCGCAAGCCUGACCCAGCCACGCCGCGUGUGUGAUGAAGGCCUUCGGGUCGUAAAGCACUGUGGGGAGAGACGAAACAGCGCAUCAGGAAAUGGUUGCGCCUUGACGGUACCUCCUUAGCAAGCACCGGCUAACUCUGUGCCAGCAGCCGCGGUAAUACAGAGGGUGCAAACGUUGCUCGGAUUUACUGGGCGUAAAGCGCGUGUAGGCGGACUCGCAAGUCGGUUGUGAAAUCCCUGGGCUCAACCUAGGAACUGCAUCCGAAACUGCUUGUCUUGAGUAAUG
rnacentral:rRNA from 1 species